GGCUUCUCAUGAGCUCCUCUCUGCCGAUCAGUGGCGUUGUAUGGAUUCGCACGAGAAGUAGAGACUAAUCACAAAUUGAACAGGCAUCCCCUAAUCUCAACAGGAUGUCUGCCUGGCUCUUUGUGAAACAAUU
rnacentral:snoRNA from 1 species